rnacentral:misc_RNA from 1 species
GGAUGUUCAAACAGGAAUAUAUGAGCGCUGCACACAUCAUCCAAAUGCACUACUCGUCCUCUAGCUAUCAUCUUGUAAAGUGCUUCAUUUCUUGUGAUCAAAGCCAAUCCUAAGUCGAUACUGAAAGGCUUUGAAGGAGUAAGAAAUGGACCCACCACCACAGAUGGAUGAACAGUGACGAGAUUUAUGCCAUUUUCCUUGGCAAAUUCCCAUGCUGCUUUCUCAGCUUUUGUUUUUGCAACAAAAUAUGACCAUCCAAGCAUCUUCUCUGCAUGGCAAAAAUCAACAUCAGUCCAAAAGCUCUNCAGUCCAAAAGCUCUCAUCAUACUCCGGCGGCGGAGGUGGCGGUUGGACGGUAACAGUUCCUGUGGUCGAGGUGUAGAUGAACCUUCUGAUGGUUUUUGCCUUCAAGCAGGAUCUCAUGAUGUUCAAUACCCCAUUUACUGUAGGCUUUAUAAUGUCAGCCUCUAGAUCUCGAUCCAGAGAGAAAUCCAUAGGUGUAGCGACGUGGAAUACCCCUGUACACCCUUGAAUUACAUCAUCAAAGUUUCCUUCCUCAACCAGCUCCCCUCUCCACAAACUCAGGUGGGUGCUGGCUUUUGGCAAGUCCAACAAAUGCUUCACCUUGUUCAUGUUUUCAGGAUC